CUGGAGGCCACGUGGCCUUCAAAAGGGAACAACACACUGGUCCUACUCCCAGGAUUAUUGUGUGGGGUGGCAUAAUGUAUGGUAGCUGGACCUUUCUAGUCUUCGUUUCAGUUACACUAACAACUUGGUGUUACAUUGAUUUGGUCAUGGA